rnacentral:other from 1 species
AAUUCUCUGCCUUGUGCGUGGACCGAGCUUAUAUAACCCUACAAGAUAAUAAAAAGGGAUUUCUGCUCAGGCGGCGGGAUUGCAGACCUCCCGCGGCGGUGCCGAGUUCGGAAGAAGGGAGCGCGAAACCGCUUGGCGAAAACCCACCUGAACUUAAAGUCAGGUUAUCAUCAAGCCGAUACGGCAAGGCGGAGCAUUA